rnacentral:tRNA from 1 species
UCCUACGUGGUCUAGUGGUUAGGAUACCUGGCUUUCACCCAGGAGGCCCGGGUUCGAUUCCCGGCGUGGGAA